CGGAGGACCUCGACCCACCGGGAGGAUGGUACAAGAACAAAAAAAAAAUCAGAUCGACCUCUAUAUGUGACAACCAUAGAUCUGCAUCACAAAGUACCUAGGGUUCAUCACAACCAUAAAUCCAGAUACAGAACAACAAAAGGAGCGCACGGAUCUGAGAGAAGAAGAACCUAGGGUUCAUCGACACCAACCAAAAUAAGACGAAUCGAC
rnacentral:lncRNA from 1 species